AAGGAUUUAAGUUAAAUUAAACUUGGAGCCUUCAAAGCUCCCCAUAAAGAUCCAUUCUUUAAGCCUUA
rnacentral:tRNA from 1 species